CGCGGGGUAGAGCAGUUUGGUAGCUCGCAAGGCUCAUAACCUUGAGGUCAUGGGUUCAAAUCCCGUCCCCGCAA
rnacentral:tRNA from 8 species